rnacentral:rRNA from 1 species
GGGCUUGACAUCCCACGAACCUGCCUGAAAGGGCAGGGUGCCCGCAAGGGAGCGUGGAGACAGGUGGUGCACGGCUGUCGUCAGCUCGUGUCGUGAGAUGUUGGGUUAAGUCCCGCAACGAGCGCAACCCUCACCCCUAGUUGCCACCGGGUAAAGCCGAGCACUCGAGGGGAACUGCCAGCGUCAAGCUGGAGGAAGGCG